GCCAUGAUGGAAGACCUGGAUGAUGGCCUUGACUUCCUCUCGGGAAGAGAACUGUGGACUUAAAGCAAUAAAUGUAGAUCUUCAAAGUGAUCCUCCUCUGCAGGUGGACAUCUCUGAUGCUCUUAGUGAGUGGGAUAAAGUAAAAUUCACUGUUCACACAAAAAGUUUAUUGCCAAAUUUUAAACAAAAUGAGUUUUCUGUUGUUCAGCAACACAAGCAAUUUAUCUGGUGUCACGAUUCCUUUGUUAUAAAUGAAGACUAUGCAGGUUACAUCAUUUCACCAGCACCACCAAGACCUGAUUUUGAUGCUUCAAGGGAAAAAGUACAGAAGCUUGGAGAAGAAGGGUCAAUGACAAAGGAAGAAUUCACAAAGAUGAAACAGGGACUGGAAGCUGAAUAUUUGGGAAUAUUCAAGAAGACAGUUGCAAUCCAUGAAGUGUUCCUAUAUCAUGUGACAGCACAUCCUAUUUUGAGAAAAUAUUUAAAUUUCCAUGUCUUCUUGGAAUAUAAUCAAGAUUUGAGUGUGCGAGGACAAAUAAAAAGAGAAACUUGAAGAUUUCUUUAAAAACAUGGUUAAAUCAGCAGAUGGAGUAAUUGUUUCAGGAGUAAAGGAUGUAGAUAAUUUCUUUGAACAUGAACGAACAUUUCUUUUAGAAUAUCAUAAUUGAGUUAAGGAUGCAUCUGUUAACUCUGGUAGAAUGACAAGGUCCCACAAAAGUGCUGCAGAUGAUUACAAUAGAAUUGGUUCUUCAUUAUAUGCUUUAGGAACUUAGGAUUCUACAGAUAUAUGAAAGUUUUUUCUCAAAGUUUCAGAAAUGUUUGAUGAAACAAGAAAAAUAGAAGCGUGAGUGUCCGCUGAUGAGGCCCUCGAACUUUCUGACCCUUAAAAAUAUUACUUAAGAGACACUCAAGCUGCUAAGGAUCCCUGUAUUGAAGGUCUAGGUCACCAGUGGAUUAUGAAAAUGCUAAUAAAGCACUGGAUAAAGCAAGAGCAAAAAAUAAAGAUGUUCUGCUGGCUAAAACUUUCCAACAAUUAUGUAGUCAGAAAUUUGAAAAAAAAAUCUCAGUCUGCAAAACAAGAACUUAUAGAUUUUAAGACAAGAAGCGUGGCUGCAUUCAGAAAAAAUUACUGGAACUGGCAGAGUUAGAACUGAAUCAUGCAAAAGGUAACUACAGUUGCUGCCAAACUGCCUGGCAGUGCUAAACAGAGACACAUAAGCCACACCCUGCCUUCCUGUUGAAAAGGGCUGCCCUCCUUCAGAUUUUAUUUUUGUCUUCUUAAUGAUGUUAAGCAUAUAUGCUCCUUGGGAACAAACAAAAAACAGCUGA